rnacentral:rRNA from 1 species
AGAUGCUAAUACCGGAUAACAACAGAUGAUGCCUAUCAACUGUUUAAAAGAUGGCUCUGCUAUCACUCUUGGAUGGACCUGCGGUGCAUUAGCUAGUUGGUAGGGUAACGGCCUACCAAGGCGAUGAUGCAUAGCCGAGUUGAGAGACUGAUCGGCCACAUUGGGACUGAGACACGGCCCAAACUCCUACGGGAGGCAGCAGCU